rnacentral:rRNA from 1 species
GACGAACGCUGGCGGCGUGCCUAAUACAUGCAAGUCGAGCGGAAUGAUGAAGAAGCUUGCUUCUUCUGAUUUUAGCGGCGGACGGGUGAGUAACACGUGGGCAACCUACCUUGUAGAUUGGGAUAACUCCGGGAAACCGGGGCUAAUACCGAAUAAUCCAUUUUGCUUCAUGGCGAGAUGUUAAAAGGCGGCUUCGGCUGCCACUACGAGAUGGGCCCGCGGCGCAUUAGCUAGUUGGUAGGGUAAUGGCCUACCAAGGCGACGAUGCGUAGCCGACCUGAGAGGGUGAUCGGCCACACUGGGACUGAGACACGGCCCAGACUCCUACGGGAGGCAGCAGUAGGGAAUCUUCCACAAUGGACGAAAGUCUGAUGGAGCAACGCCGCGUGAGUGAAGAAGGUUUUCGGAUCGUAAAACUCUGUUGUAAGGGAAGAACACGUACGAGAGUAACUGCUCGUACCUUGACGGUACCUUAUUAGAAAGCCACGGCUAACUACGUG